rnacentral:rRNA from 1 species
BACGCGGAGGGAUCAUUACUGAGUUUACGCUCUAUAACCCUUUGUGAACAUACCUAUAACUGUUGCUUCGGCGGGUAGGGUCUCCGCGACCCUCCCGGCCUCCCGCCUCCGGGCGGGUCGGCGCCCGCCGGAGGAUAAACCAAACUCUGAUUUAACGACGUUUCUUCUGAGUGGUACAAGCAAAUAAUCAAAACUUUUAACAACGGAUCUCUUGGUUCUGGCAUCGAUGAAGAACGCAGCGAAAUGCGAUAAGUAAUGUGAAUUGCAGAAUUCAGUGAAUCAUCGAAUCUUUGAACGCACAUUGCGCCCGCCAGCAUUCUGGCGGGCAUGCCUGUUCGAGCGUCAUUUCAACCCUCAAGCUCUGCUUGGUGUUGGGGCCCUACAGUUGAUGUAGGCCCUCAAAGGUAGUGGCGGACCCUCCCGGAGCCUCCUUUGCGUAGUAACUUUACGUCUCGCACUGGGAUCCGGAGGGACUCUUGCCGUAAAACCCCCCAAUUUUCCAAAGGUUGACCUCGGAUCAGGUAG